UUUUUUUCCUCAACGAUUCCCCACAAACAACUGUCUUGUAAACAUAAAUAUUUAAGAUUUUAAAAAAAUAAAAACCCCAAAUAUUCUAAAUCACAGGGUCGUCAACAAUGCAAAACAACAUUUGGCCCAAAUUUCUUCUCAACAGCCAAACAAAUCCUUAAAUGGAAUACUCACCUACGAUUAAUCCAAAAGAAAGAGAAAGCUCUACUUCGGUUUCCAGAAACCUUCAAAAUAUUGCACCUUUGAUGAACAAAGAUGAAGAAAUAGCUCAACUUUGGCUUCGUUGAAGGUUUUCGGAAAAUGCAGAUGGAUUAGGGCAAAAUGAGGUUUUCGGAAAAUGCAGAUGGGUUAGGGCAAAAUGAGAGGAAGUGACAAGUUUUCCCAAAUUUCUAACUUUGUCGGGUCGGCUGGAUUUUGCAAAUUUGAUA
rnacentral:lncRNA from 1 species